CAUAUCGCGUUGAAACACCGGCUCACGUACAAUCAUCGUAGUUAAGCAACGUCGAGCCUAGUCAGUACCUCGAUGGGUAACUACUUGGGAAUACCAGAUGUUAUA